rnacentral:rRNA from 1 species
UUUCCGUAGGUGAACCUGCGGAAGGAUCACUAGUGAUUAAAUCGAGAGCGUCUUCAUUGACCUCUCACCCUUCACAUCCACAUACACCUGUGCACCGUUUGGCUCUUUUAAAAGACGCAAGUCUGCAAAGAGAGUCAUCAAUUUUAUACAUACCCCAGUCUUAUGAAUGUAACAGUUUUAAUAAACAUAAUAAAACUUUUAACAACGGAUCUCUUGGUUCUCGCAUCGAUGAAGAACGCAGCGAAAUGCGAUAAGUAAUGUGAAUUGCAGAAUUCAGUGAAUCAUCGAAUCUUUGAACGCACCUUGCGCUCCUUGGUAUUCCGAGGAGCAUGCCUGUUUGAGUGUCAUGAAACUCUCAACCUUCAACUUUUUUAUUAAGGCUGAAGGCUUGGACUUGAGCGCUGCUGGUUUUUACUAACCGGCUCGCUUGAAAUGAAUUAGCAGAUCCUUUUUGUAAUCGGUUCCACUCGACGUGAUAAGUAUUUCGCCGAGGACAUACGAAAGUAUGGCCGAGAUAAGGAAAGUCUUUAGAUCCGCUUCUAAUUCUUAGAUCAAGCUUGCUUGACUAAACCCCAUUUUAUGAUCUGGCCUCAAAUCAGGUAGGACUACCCGCUGAACUUAASCAUAU